rnacentral:rRNA from 1 species
CCUUAAUCUGCUAAAUACGUCACAAUCACUUUUGGUGGUUGAUUUUUUCUUGACUUCUUAGAGAGACUAUGUACGUUUAGUAUGUGGAAGUUUGAGGCAAUAACAGGUCUGUGAUGCCCUUAGAUGUUCUGGGCCGCACGCGCGCUACACUGACAAUGGCAGCAAGUAUUUUUUCGACCUUGGCCGGAAGGCCUGGGUAAUCUUCUGAAACAUUGUCGUGCUGGGGAUAGUCCCUUGCAAUUAUUGGACUUUAACGAGGAAUUCCUAGUAAGCGCAAGUCAUCAGCUUGCGUUGAUUACGUCCCUGCCCUUUGUACACACCGCCCGUCGCUACUACCGAUUGAAUGGCUUAGUGAGACCUCCGGAUUGGCGUUUUGUGGGCCGCGAGGCUUGUGAGAUGCUGAGAAGUUGGUCAAACUUGGUCAUUUAGAGGAAGUAAAAGUCG